rnacentral:lncRNA from 1 species
AUAGAGUAGUGAUGUAAAUCCAUAGGAUGUAAUAUAACCCAGCAAAGACAAAUCCGAAAGCAAUGCUCCCAAAUCCUGUUAAGCUAUUGUGAAAUGGAAAUGCCAGCCACCAAAACCCACUUCGGACGUAAUAAGCGUACCCAAGAUGUCUCCAAUUUUUUACUGACUGAAACAACGCAGAGAAUAAGAAGAAACACAUC